GUGUGGUGUUAGUACUUUAUUAUUCUAUUUUAAAAAUUAAAGCCAAAUAGUAUCAUGACCAAUUUCCAACGGAGCUUGUUUAUGUUAUCCAUGCCCACCGUCAUUUUACAACAAAUUUUUGAAAUUUUGGAAGCCUUUUCGAAUAAUUCUCUAGAAAAUAUUUCAAUAGGUUUUAAAAUUUAUAUUGUAAAUUUACACACUGCAGUUAUUCAUAGAUAAUUAAAAAAAUAUAUUGUACCCUUACAUCCCAUCACAGCGCUCCUAAUUUGACUUCCUUCACCUGCCUUGGGUACACAAAAGGCCA
rnacentral:lncRNA from 1 species